GUUAAUAUAUAUAAUAUAUUUGAACAAGCCGGAUCCCAUCUGAUCUCAGAAACUAAGCAGAGUCAGGCCUGGUUAGUGCUUGGAUAAGAGACCACCUAGGAAGACCAGGUGCUGUAGGUG
ensembl:rRNA 5S_rRNA 5S ribosomal RNA